GCCCUUCGGGGUGAUGGGGACUCACGGGAGACUGCCGGGGUCAACUCGGAGGAAGGUGGGGACGACGUCAAGUCAUCAUGCCCCUUAUGUCUUGGGCUGCACACGUGCUACAAUGGCCGGUACAAUGAGCUGCGAUACCGCGAGGUGGAGCGAAUCUCAAAAAGCCGGUCUCAGUUCGGAUUGGGGUCUGCAACUCGACCCCAUGAAGUCGGAGUCUCUAGUAAUCGCAGAUCAGCAUUGCUGCGGUGAAUACGUUCCCGGGCCUUGUACACACCGCCCGUCACGUCACGAAAGUCGGUAACACCCGAAGCCGGUGGCCCAACCCCUUGUGGGAGGGAGUCGUCGAAGGUGGGACUGGCGAUUGGGACGAAGUCGUAACAAGGUAGCCGUACCGGAAGGUGCGGCUGGAUCACCUCCUUU
rnacentral:rRNA from 1 species